AUUGAACGCUGGCGUCAGGCCUAACACAUGCAAGUCGAACGAGUGGCGGACGGGUGAGUAAUGUCUGGGAAACUGCCCGAUGGAUGGGGAUAACUACUGAAAACGGUAGCUAAUACCGCAUACCAUCGGAUGUGCCCAGAUGGGAUUAGCUAGGAGGUGGGGUAAAGGCUCACCUAGGCGACUAUCCCUAGCUGGUCUGAGAGGAUGACCAGCCACACUGGAACUUAGACACGGUCCAGACUCCUACGGGAGGAAGCAGUGUGGAAUAUUGCACAAUGGGCGCAAGCCUGAUGCAGCCAUGCCGCGUGUAUGAAGAAGGCCUUCGGGUUGUAAAGUACUUUCAGCGAGGAGGCGUUACUCGCAGAAGAAGCACCGGCUAACUCCGUGCCAGCAGCCGCGGUAAUUC
rnacentral:rRNA from 1 species